rnacentral:tRNA from 2 species
UGUUCAAUGGUGUAAUGGUAGCACAACAGAUUCUGGUCCUGUUAGUCCAAGUUCGAGCCUUGGUUGAACAA